rnacentral:rRNA from 1 species
UACAGAGGUCUCAAGCGUUGUUCGGAUUCAUUGGGCGUAAAGGGUGCGUAGGUGGCGAGGUAAGUCGGGUGUGAAAUUUCGGAGCUUAACUCCGAAACUGCAUUCGAUACUGCCGUGCUUGAGGACUGGAGAGGAGACUGGAAUUUACGGUGUAGCGGUGAAAUGCGUAGAGAUCGUAAGGAAGACCAGUGGCGAAGGCGGGUCUCUGGACAGUACCUGACACUGAGGCACGAAGGCCAGGGGAGCAAACGGG